UACGUAGGGGGCAAGCGUUGUCCGGAAUCAUUGGGCGUAAAGCGCGUGUAGGCGCCAGAAAAGUCCGCUGUGAAAACUCGAGGCUCAACCUCGAGCUGUCGGUGGAAACUUUCUGGCUAGAGUCCGGAAGAGGAGAAUGGAAUUCCUGGUGUAGCGGUGAAAUGCGCAGAUAUCAGGAAGAACACCCGUGGCGAAGGCGGGUCUCUGGGCAGUAAACUGACGCUGGAGGAAACGGAAAGCGUGGGUAGCAAACAGG
rnacentral:rRNA from 1 species